rnacentral:rRNA from 1 species
AUACGUAGGGUGCGAGCGUUGUCCGGAAUUACUGGGCGUAAAGAGCUCGUAGGUGGUUUGUCGCGCCGUCUGUGAAAUUCCGGGGCUUAACUCCGGGCGUGCAGGCGAUACGGGCAUAACUUGAGUACUGUAGGGGAGACUGGAAUUCCUGGUGUAGCGGUGAAAUGCGCAGAUAUCAGGAGGAACACCGGUGGCGAAGGCGGGUCUCUGGGCAGUAACUGACGCUGAGGAGCGAAAGCAUGGGUAGCGAACAGGAUUAGAUACCCUGGUAGUCCAUGCCGUAAACGGUGGGCGCUAGGUGUAGGGGUCUUCCACGACUUCUGUGCCGUAGCUAACGCAUUAAGCGCCCCGCCUGGGGAGUACGGCCGCAAGGCUAAAACUCAAAUGAAUUGGCGGGG